rnacentral:rRNA from 1 species
UGAGUGACGCAGCUAACGCGUGAAGUCGACCGCCUGGGGAGUACGGCCGCAAGGUUAAAACUCAAAGGAAUUGACGGGGACCCGCACAAGCGGUGGAUGAUGUGGAUUAAUUCGAUGCAACGCGAAAAACCUUACCUACCCUUGACAUGUCUGGAACCUUGCUGAGAGGCGAGGGUGCCUUCGGGAGCCAGAACACAGGUGCUGCAUGGCUGUCGUCAGCUCGUGUCGUGAGAUGUUGGGUCAAGUCCCGCAACGAGCGCAACCCUUGUCAUUAGUUGCUACGAAAGGGCACUCUAAUGAGACUGCCGGUGAUAAACCGGAGGAAGGUGGGGAUGACGUCAAGUCCUCAUGGCCCUUAUAGGUGGGGCUACACACGUCAUACAAUGGCUGGUACAGAGGGUUGCCAACCCGCGAGGGGGAGCUAAUCCCAUAAAACCAGUCGUAGUCCGGAUCGCAGUCUGCAACUCGACUGCGUGAAGUCGGAAUCGCUAGUAAUCGCGGAUCAGAAUGUCGCGGUGAAUACGUUCCCGGGUCUUGUACACACCGCCCGUCAC